AUCCCUACGGGACGCAGCAGUGGGGAAUAUUGGGCAAUGGGCGCAAGCCUGACCCAGCAACGCCGCGUGAAGGAAGAAGGCCCUCGGGUUGUAAACUUCUUUUAUCAGGGACGAAACAAAUGACGGUACCUGAUGAAUAAGCCACGGCUAACUACGUGCCAGCAGCCGCGGUAAUACGUAGGUGGCAAGCGUUAUCCGGAUUUACUGGGUGUAAAGGGCGUGUAGGCGGGUCUGCAAGUCAGAUGGGAAAUCUCAUGG
rnacentral:rRNA from 1 species